ensembl:lncRNA
AAAACAUAAAAUUGGGCAUUAAUUCACAAAACCUGGAACUAAAACAUAACAUAUUUGAAAAUAGCAAUUGAAGUGAUUCAAUAAAAAUCCAAAUAUAUUAAAUUAUGUGUUAUACUUCAAAUGUAUUACAGUAGCACAUGUAAAUCACAUGAGCAGAGAAACAAGAGUUUUUUGAUAAUUUCAAAACAAUUUAUUUUUUUUCCCCCUCAUGCACUUUGCUGCACACUACAAGUAGAGACAUGGUAUUUAUUCUCAGUCAGUUCACAACAUGUCUUGGUCCUGGAGAGAACACUCUGCAGGGUACAGGUACCAGACCAAUCAUGCUGAGGGGUCUCAGCAGGGGGUAAGCAAAGGCCCCACGACCUGUGGGCGCUGGUCGAAGUGCGGGCUGCACAGACUGCCGUGGCGGUCGUAGGCAGCAUCAAGAGAUUUUUGUCGAAUAUGGGGGUCUCGAGUAGGCACUUCUCUUUCCCUUCCUCUUUAGAAUCAACAUGGAGGGCCAGCUCAUGGGCACCCUGACGGGCCUCCAGAACGUCUUCACUCGAAAUGACGAGGUGCGGCAGAGGGCCAUGGAGACCAAGAGCCACCAGGCCCCCUCCUCUCUGGGGGUUGUGAGGAGGGCCGUGCGGACCAACCCCUUUUGCAAUGGCACGUUGGUGGUGGUGUUCCUGCAGUUUGGGUGCCUCCUCCCUCACCACCGGGCAGACGAUGACCCUCUACGCCAGGUAUUCCGGAGAGAGGCGGGUUAGGGCACUAAGCCGAUGCUCGAGGGGGUCGUCGACCUCGAGGGGGAGAUCCUCGCGCUGACCUGCAUGGCCUCAGGUAGCCCAGCCCAGGGGCUUUGUGGAUCGGCCGACGGCCGGAUCUGGGUCCAUCUCCGACAAUGCCGUCGCCCCUGGGGCCACCUCCACCUUGGAAAGUAUAACGAAAAAGAGAGGCUGGAGCUGUUGGACCUCCUGCGAGGCGUGGGCUUGGCUACUGUUUGGAUCACAUUCACCCAGUAGAGCAUUUUGAGGGUGACGUCCAUGAGGUCAUCCUUGAUGUGGUUGACUAUGUUUUAGUAGUCCGAGCUGCACAUCCUGCACAGGGAGCUCAGGCGGCCCUGCUCUUCUCCGGCAGCAGUUUGGAAACAGCACUCUGGCGCCCUCCCUCGGCCUGUCGCCGGAAUACCUCCGGAGGCUGAUGACCUCGGCCACAGCGGCGUAGACCGUCACCGUCUGCCCGGUGGUGAGGGAGGAGGCACCCAAACUGCAGGAACACCACCAAUGUGCCAUUGCAAAAGGGGUUGGUCCGCUCGGCCUCCUCACAACCCCCAGAGAGCAGGGGGCCUGGUGGCUCUUGGUCUCCAUGGCCCUCUGCCGCACCUCGUCAUUUCGAGUGAAGACGUUCUGGAGGCCCAUCAGGGUGCCCAUGAGCUGGCCCUCCAUGUUGAUUCCAAAGAGGAAGGGGAAAGAGAAGUGCCUACUCAAGACCCCCACAUUCAACAAAAAUCUCUUGAUGCUGCCCAUAACCGCCACGGCGGUCUGGGCAGCCCCCUUUUGGCGGGGCAGCCACCGCCGCCGGUACCCCUGCGGAGAGUUCUGUUGGGGAGGCGGCGCAGCAUGGUAGGUCUGGUACCUGUUGUGCCCUGCAGAGUGUUCUCUCCUGGACCUAGACCUGUUGUGAAUUGACUGAGAAUAAAUCCCAUGGCUCAAUUUAUAGUGUGGCAAGGAGCACAAGGCCCGCCCCUUGUCAGCCCAUCGAGGCCCGCCCCUUGUCGGCCCAUUGACGCCCGCCCCUUGUCGGCCCAUUGCCGCCCGCCCCUUGUCGGCCCAUUGAUGCCCGCCCCUUGUCGGCCCAUUGACGCCCGCCCCUUGUCGGCCCAUCGAGGCCCGCCCCUUGUCGGCCCAUCGACGCCCGCCCCUUGUCGGCCCAUCGAGGACCGCCCCUUGUCGGCCCGCCCCUUGAUGGCCCAUCGAGGCCCGCCCCUUGUCGGCCCGCCCCUCGAUGGCCCAGCGAAGGGCGUGGUUUAGUAAACUCCUCGCCCUCGCGACUUAUCCGCCCCUUGUCGGCCCGCCCCUCGAUGGCCCAGCGAAGGGCGUGGUUUAGUAAACUCCUCGCCCUCGCGACUUAUCCGCCCCUUGUCGGCCCAUCGAGGCCCGCCCCUUGUCGGCCCAUCGACGCCCGCCCCUUGUCGGCCCAUUGCCGCCCGCCCCUUGUCGGCCCAUUGACGCCCGCCCCUUGUCGGCCCAUCGAGGACCGCCCCUUGUCGGCCCGCCCCUUGAUGGCCCAUCAAGGCCCGCCUAUCGAGGCCUAUCGAGGCCCGCCCCUUGUCGGCCCAUUGAGGCCCGCCCCUUGUCGGCCCAUCGAAGCCCGCCCUUUUUUGGCCCAUCGAGGCCCGCCCCUUGUCGGCCCGCCCCUUGAUGGCCCAGCGAAGGGCGUGGUUUAGUAAACUCCUCCCCCUCGCGACUUAUCCGCCCCUUGCGACUCAGGAGUGGUUUAGUCAAUUCCUCCUCCUGAGUUUCAUAGGAGGAUCUUAGUGGAACGUAUUGGAGAAUAUAAGGCCUUGCGGUUUAUGUAAGCGCACACAUUAAGCACCGGCACGAACAGCUGCUUAAGCAGCGAAGGGGAGGCUGGGAGGGCCAGGAGGUCCCGUUUUCCCCCCCACCCCCGCUUCAAAGCGCCACAAGGAGGAGGAGGGCCCCUGGAACCCCCACGGGCAUCGCUGGAGCGGUCCUCGGGAGAGGAGAGAGGACUGAACUGUGGAGGAAAGAG